rnacentral:rRNA from 1 species
CAAGGAAUUUUCGGCAAUGGGGGCAACCCUGACCCAGCAACGCCGCGUGCAUGAUGACGGCCUUCGGGUUGUAAACUGCUUUUUCGGGGGAUGAGAAUGACAGUACCCCGCGAAUCAGGCUCGGCUAACUCCGUGCCAGCAGCCGCGGUAAGACAGAGGAGCCAAGCGUUGUCCGGACUGACUGGGCGUAAAGCGCACGCAGGCGGUCAGGCAAGUGUCGUGUGACAGCGGCUCGCUUAACGGGUCGAGUCCAUGGCAGACUGCUCGACUGGAGGUCGUGAGAGGUCCGUGGAAUUGCCGGUGUAGUGGUGACAUGCGUAGAGAUCGGCAGGAACACCCGAGGGGAAGCCAGCGGACUGGCACGAUGCUGACACUGAGGUGCGACAGCGUGGGGAGCGAACAGG